rnacentral:lncRNA from 1 species
AUGUAUUUAAUCACCUGGUCUACAAAUGAUGAUGCUGUUAGGGAAGGUUAUGGAACCUAUAGGGUGUGGAGCUUUGCUGGAGCGGAUGGGGCACUAGGGUGGGGAAGAAACACUUUGAACCUGAGCUUUGAAGAUCGGCUGCAUUUCUUGUCCUCUCCCCUUUUCCUGUGUACGGAUGAAAGCCUGAUUAGACAGAUUCCUGCUCGUGAUACCUUACCUUACCUUCGGGCCCUGUAGCCACGCCUUCUGCACCAUGAUGGGCUCUAUCCACUGUAAAUCAGAAUAAACCCUCUCUCCUUAAGUUGUUUUAUCACAGCAACAGAAAAGUAGCUUAUUCAAUCGCCAAAAACUUAGACUGCACCCAACAUCAAGCCAUUUAACCAGCCCUAUGGUCACCGUAAUUUCUUAAUUAUAAAAUGCCUUUUAAAUAAGUUUCCACAACAGAAUAUGGAAAAGCUAAAAACAUAGCUAAAUGGUGUUUGAACAUUAAUGACAUUGUACUUUUAGAAUGUGAGGUGUGAGGCUGCCAGGAAGGAGACUACCGUGGCUAGAGAAGCAUCCGAAGCCCUCCCGAAGCACGUUAGAGGCACAGAAAGGAGGUGGAUGUGGGUGACAGGGAGAAAUGUGGAGACUUUGUUUCUGUUAUUGGAGAGGAGGCCACUCUCUGCUAUGUCAUCUGUUUUAUGACCACACAAUAGCGUGAAAGUAAAGAGAGUCUAGGCAGUAUUGAGAUGAACACCAGGAACAUUGUACAACUUUCUCAAUGGAUUUUCCUGGAGUUACACAGAUCACUGAAGACAAUGCUUAUCAAUCCUGACAUCCUACAGAAGAACCAGAGGUAAGGCCCAAGGCAAAAAGCAGUGAGUGAGAAAGGGGCCUGGCCACUGCCUCUGUGUGCACUGCCUUGGUAGCUCAUCCCUUUAAACUUCAUGACCGGACUGCAUCAGCAAUUGGAUAGAGGCCACACCAGCAACUUUCAACCUGUGGACUUCCCCUUGUGAAAUCAACACUUGAAGUGAAAAGUUUCUAAAGAAUAGGUGACAAAGGAGAUAAGUGAAUGCUAAGAAAAAACAGCAAUUUCAAUGGACCAUAGGCUUUUGGCUCGCUGACUGGAAGAACAAAUAAAGAGCAUCUUUU